rnacentral:rRNA from 1 species
AGUGAACGCUGGCGGUAGGCCUAACACAUGCAAGUCGAACGGCAGCACAGUAAGAGCUUGCUCUUACGGGUGGCGAGUGGCGGGCGGGUGAGGAAUACAUCGUAAUCUACUUUUUCGUGGGGGUUAACGUAGGGAAACUUACGCUAAUACCGCAUACGACCUACGGGUGAAAGCAUGGGAUCUUCUGACCUUGCGCGAUUGAAUGAGCCGAUGUCGGGUUAGUUGGUUGGCGGGGUAAAGGCCCACCAAGGCGACGAUCGGUAGCUGGACUGUGAGGAUGGUCGGCCGCACUGGAACUGAGACACGGUCCAGACUCCUACGGGAGGCAGCAGUGGGGAAUAGUGGACAAUGGGCGGAAGUCUGAUCCAGCCAUCCCGCGUGGGUGAAGAAGGCGUUCGGGUUGUAAAGCCCUUUUGUUGGGAGAGAAAAGCAGCAGGUUAAUACCCCGCUGGUCUGACGGUACCCAAAGAAUAAGCACCGGCUAACUUCGUG